UUUUCUGUACUGGUUUGCAGUAUCUUAUGAGGCAAAAAGACCCACAAAUCCAUGUCCUUAACCAAAUUUACCUUUGCCUUGAUGGCUAUGUGUUUAUAACAUCUAAACGGCACCCAAAAUAAGUAAUGUGCAGCUACAGCUGCAGUGUCAGAAAGCUGUAUCUGUGUGCCAAAAUGCUGUCUUUCUGGAGGGAGUUGGUAUUGUAGGCCUUUUAGUGUGGGAACUUUAAUAACCACACCUUGCUAAAUCUCACGUCAUUGCCUGUACUCCAGGUUCACGUUGUUUUAGCUUUUUGAAGGAGUGUUGCAAGUCUCUGUAUUCUGGCCAACUCCAACACAAGCAUUGGUAUUCUGCCCACCCAACCUGCUCUGUUGUUGUAGGAGUUGCCCUUUGCAGACUCUGCUAAUGUGUUCCCUUCCAGAAGGAAACAGCCCCCAUGACUGCAGGCCCACAUCUUACUAAUCUAAAGCUCUGGCAAUCCACAGAGACUGGUUUGCUAUUGCAGAGAAAUGCUCCUCCUUCCUCCAAGCAACCCUGGGUGAUGACACCUGCGUUGGGUAUCCUGAAACUGCUGCCUCUCUGGUGGAAGAGGAGCAUCCACCCAUGAAAUACUCCUGGAGUAACACCACAACCAGUCCCCAGUUACAUGCUGAAUGCCUGGAAGUCCUAACCCAUGCCACAGGCCUGCCAGAGGAAAUUUUUGAAGUCCAGCAGAACCUGAGAUGGGAUGUAAGCUGGAAAGGUAAUAAUCACACCCAUCUGGCUGAGGAUGCCUUGAAAUGAAGCAUGGCAGCUAUGGGAAAGAAGAAAGAAAAUGUUGAUGUGGAGACUGCCCUUCAACACCUCCUUCUUCUGCCAAAAUGCAACAGCAACGUGAUUUCUGGAGUGGUGUACAAAAUGGAGAUCAUUCCAAAAGCAACCUGUGAUAGGAUCCACUCUUGUCCACAUGAAAUCAUAGCUGCAGCACAGAGCAGUGAGGUAAGUUCUGGAUUUUGGACUGUUU
rnacentral:lncRNA from 1 species